rnacentral:rRNA from 1 species
UACGUAGGGUGCGAGCGUUGUCCGGAAUUACUGGGCGUAAAGAGCUCGUAGGUGGUUUGUCGCGUUGUUCGUGAAAACUCACAGCUUAACUGUGGGCGUGCGGGCGAUACGGGCAGACUGGAGUACUGCAGGGGAGACUGGAACUUCCUGGUGUAGCGGUGGAAUGCGCAGAUAUCAGGAGGAACACCAAUAGCGAAGGCAGCUCGCUGGGACGGUAUUGACGCUAAGGCGCGAAAGCGUGGGGAGCAACAGG